rnacentral:lncRNA from 12 species
AUGGGAGAAAAAGAUGAUGCUUUUGCUGUCACAGUUGUGGUCUGGAACAUAAUGCAAGUAUUGAACCAUCAGGCCACUGCUGCUGGGCAGGAUGUGACAAGCGUGCUGGUUUGCAAGGCUGUGGUAUACACAGAAGAGUGAUUUCAUUCAAACAAGAAGUUGUUGCUAUGUAGGCAUUUUUUUAGCACUCGUGCAGAGUAGCAACUUGCUAUAGUCUGCAAUUUUUUCAUCUUUAAAGUACACUUAAAACUAGAUCCCUGAACAAUGGACCAAUAAGUUGGAAAACACACUUGGACUUCUAAAGAAAUGCAUUAACAAUGGGCCAAUAAGUUGGAAAACACAUUUGGACUUCUGAAGAAAUGCAGUAAGCAAGGAAAAACUAAGCCAAAAGUACAAAGGAGAAUAUUUCAAAUAGCACAUGGUAGUAUAGUGUUUAAUAAUUUGUCCUUUUUUUACGAUAUAUUUCUCAUUUAUAGAUUCCUUGUUAUCUUUGUUUUUUGUAAAUUUACUGGCACACCCUCUCUAUCACUUUAGUUGCUCUUCUCUGUGUUGUUUUUUUGUAGGUUUUUUUUCCUAAUUGUCUCCUGCUCUGUUCUGUCUUAAGAUGCACAGACCAGAACUGCAAACACAUUUAACAUAUGGGUGGAGCAAGG